rnacentral:rRNA from 1 species
UAGGGAAUCUUCCACAAUGGACGCAAGUCUGAUGGAGCAACGCCGCGUGAGUGAAGAAGGUUUUCGGACCGUAAAGCUCUGUUGUUGGUGAAGAAGGAUAGAGGUAGUAACUGGCCUUUAUUUGACGGUAAUCAACCAGAAAGUCACGGCUAACUACGUGCCAGCAGCCGCGGUAAUACGUAGGUGGCAAGCGUUGUCCGGAUUUAUUGGGCGUAAAGCGAGCGCAGGCGGAAGAAUAAGUCUGAUGUGAAAGCCCUCGGCUUAACCGAGGAAUUGCAUCGGAAACUGUUUUCUUGAGUGCAGAAGAGGAGAGUAGAACUCCAUGUGUAGCGGUGGAAUGCGUAGAUAUAUGGAAGAAUACCAGUGGCGAAGGCGGCUCUCUGGUCUGCAACUGACGCUGAGGCUCGAAAGCAUGGGUAGCGAACAGGAUUAGAUACCCUGGUAGUCCAUGCCGUAAACGAUGAGUGCUAAGUGUUGGAGGGUUUCCGCCCUUCAGUGCUGCAGCUAACGCAUUAAGCACUCCGCCUGGGGGAGUACGACCGCAAGGUUGAAAC